rnacentral:rRNA from 1 species
CAGUCGCCGCGGUAAGACAGAGGAUGCAAGCGUUAUCCGGAAUGAUUGGGCGUAAAGCGUCUGUAGGUGGCUUUUCAAGUCCGCCGUCAAAUCCCAGGGCUCAACCUUGGACAGGCGGUGGAAACUACCAAGCUGGAGUACGGUAGGGGCAGAGGGAAUUUCCAGUGGAGCGGUGAAAUGCGUUGAGAUCGAAAAGAACACCAACAGCGAAAGCACUCUGCUGGGACGACACUGACACUGAGAGACGAAAGCUAGGGGAGCGAAUGGGAUUAGAUACCCGCGUAGACCCUGUCUCUUAUAC